UCCCUGGUGGUCCAAUGGCUAAGACUCUGAGCUCCCAAUGCUGGGGACCCAGGUUCAAUCCCUGGCCAAGGAA
rnacentral:tRNA from 1 species